CUACGUAUAUUGUAAACACUUACAUGAAGAUGUAUAUCAAAUUAGUUUGAUCAUUGCCAGUUGGUUUGUUUGACUAUAUGUUUCAACUUGGGUUCAGGCUGAUGUAUAAAAUUACUAUUAGUCUAGAUUAUUAUUGGUAAAUAAAUACAUUUUUUUGUUCCGACAACUCCCUUAUAUAUUUGAUCUUUAUAAUAGUGUCAAAUAUCAUUUUAUGAAACUAUGUGACUAUAAUCCUUUAAUUAUGAAUUUGUUUCAGACACCGGAAAAAGCCAACGUGGUCAGAGACAUUUUCAAGCUGGAUUUGGAAUUCUUCUUAUGAUGAGUUCACUGAGGAGGAAAAGCAUGCAGAACUGUGUUAUACAGAAUGUCUUUUUCUUGAAGCUCUUCUCACCUUUAUCCAGGAUGACAAUCUUGUCAGCUUUGUUUGGGGAGCUUUCAAAAUCAGGAGCUGUUACCAGAAUUACAAGUAAUAACUUCAAUCUCCAGCUCUAACUUUAACUCUAACAGAUAGUUUAUAAUUGCAUCAAGUAACACUAAUUUGAUAGUUUACUCAUACAAGUACAGUUGAAGCCCACAAUCUCUAACUCUCAAGGGAAACAAAAAGUACCCUUUGGCUCAAGAUGUUACAGGGGUUUGAGAUUGUCCAUAGUGAAUGACUGAAAGGCAUGUCAGAUGAUAUCAGAUGAUAUCAGAUUUGUCUGUGAGUUCAAGAUUGCGAAGAAUUCAAGAUAAUCGAGGCUCAACUGGAUGUACAUUACAGUUGAACCUCUCCACAACAGCCCCCUUGGGGACA